CAUGGUUCCAAUGGACAUGUGGCCCAAACCAAGACGGUGAGACUGUUGCCAAGAACCUUCCUGGUACUAUCAAGAAAGCCCUUCCCCUGGGGUCACAGUUGACAGGAUGAACCACUCAGAGUAGCUGGGGACCAUCUCUGCCAUUAGCUUGCUUAUAAGAAUGAAGGGCUGGUAAUAUAGCUCAAAGGUACAGAACAUAUCUAGCAGGCCCUUGGUUGAAUGCUCAGUACCACACAUACACACACACAUAAAAAAGGUUGAUAUAAAGUAAGAAAUCAUAUUCAUAAUUUUCAUAAUAUUCAGUAAAGUCCUGGAUUCUGCCUUGCCUAAAGCACAAUCGCCACCCCCCACCAUUUGGGAUGGGUACUGGGGAUUGAACCCAGAAGUUCUUUACCACUAAACUACAUCCCCAGCCCUUUUUCUUCCUUAUAGGAAGACAGGGUCUCAUUAAAUUGCUGAAGCUGGCCUCUACCUUGUAAUCUUCCUAUCUGAGCCUCCCAAGUUGCUGGGAUUAUAGUUGUGUGCCACUGUACUAGGCUAAAUUUAUAUAUUUUAACUAUUUUGUAUGGUGCUGGGGAUUGAACCCAAGGCCUCACACUUGCUAGGCAAGUACUCUACCAUUGAGCUAUAUCCCCAUUGUCAAUGUUUUAACUUUAUUUUGAUGAUUUCAGAUUUACAGAGAAGUAUUAAGAACAGUACAAAGAAUUUCCAUAUCCCCUUCAUCCAGAUCUCCAAAUAUUAACAUUUUACAUUUAUUUUAUAGUUUGCUCUAUAUAUACAUAUUUAAAUUUGGGGGGGUGCCUGUAAUCCCAGUGGCUGGGGAUGUGGCUCAGUGCUUGAGUGCCCCUGAGUUCAAUCUCUGAUACUGAAGAAAAAAAAAAAAGUAGAAGAAAAUCCUGGAGAAAAGGGGCUCAUAAAAGUCGAAGAGGGGCUAGGGAUGUAGCUCAGUGGUAGAGUGCUUGCCUAGCAUGCAAGUUGCGAAAGGCCCUCAGUUCAAUCCACAGUGCCAAAAACACACAAACAAAAAAAUUAAUCAGAAAAAAAAUAAAAUCAUUUGCGCUUUUAACCAGUCAAGGUGGCGCACACCUGUAAUCCCAGCAAGCUGGGAGGCUGAGGCAGGAGGAUCUUGAGGUCAAAGCCAGCACCAGCAAUUUAUCAAGACCCUAAGCAGCUCAGCAAGACCCUGUCUCAAAAUAAAAAAUAAAAAAGGGAUAAGAACAUGGCUUAGUGCUUAAAUGCCCUGGGUUCAAUCCCCAGUACCAAAAAAAAAAAAAAAGGCUUCAAAUGUAGCUCAGUGGUAAAGUACCCCAGUACCAAAACCAGUAACAAUAAUAAUUGGUGCUUUUAAUGCACCAGAUAAAAACCUACAGAUGAUACAUAUCACAGCUAUGAGGUCACUGCAAAAUAACACAUGUAAAGUAUGCCUCCAUGUGUGCAAAAAAAAAAAAAAAAACCAAUAUAUAUGUGUGCACAUGCUUAUAUGUGUUUGGAACUCUCUAGAGGAUACACAGGAAAUUGCUAACAGUGCUUGCUGCUGAGAAGUGGGGACUAAGGCAUAGAGAUAAGAGGGGAAUUUUAAUUUUUCUAUUUCUCUGUACCCUUGGAAAUAUUUGUUUGUGUAGUAUUCACAAUUCAAAUAUAUCUAUAAUUAUAUUAAAUUGUGAAAGAAUGUAUAGAAAAUAUUUACUUCAUGUGUCAUGUGCUAUAUAUGUCAUGUGUGGCAUAUAAAAUACACACAUGUUAAGAUAUUACAUACUAUAGCAAGGCCUAGAAAAAAUGUACUCUUGCAAGAAAAGGUUGAAUACAAUUGAAUUAUGACAUAAACUUGGUAAAUAUACUAAAAAGUAUACACUCUUCUAACAAUUCUACCUAGAGAAACUUAUCCUAAGGAAGUAAUUACCCAAGGGUACAAAAAUAAAUGAAUCUAGUUGUCUAUUUAAGUGUUGUGUAUAGUAGCAAAAUAUCAGAAAUAUCAUAAAUAUUGAGAAUUUCUUAAAUCCAUAAAAUUGAAUAUCAUGUAGCAUUCAUACGACUUAAGACAUAAUUAUUUCUCAUCAGUAACAUUUAUUUAACAUUUAUUGUUUAUAUAAUUUUUACAGAUCUUAUAUGCCAUAGUUCUAUUUUUGUUUAAAAACAAAAAUAUAUUCAUUCUCAUUCCAGUCAGAAUGGCAAUUAUCAAGAAUACAAGGAACAAUAAGUAUUGGCGAGGAUGUAGAGAACAAGGUACCUUCAUACAUUGCUGGUGGGACUGCAAAUUGGUGCAAUCACUAUGGAAAGCAGUAUGGAGAUACCUCAGAAAACUUGGAAUGGAACCACAAUUUGACCCAGCUAUCCCACUCCUUGGUUUAUACCCAAAGGACUUAAAAUCAGCAUACUACAAUGACAACAGCCACAUCAAUGUUUACAGCUGCUCAAUUCACAGUAGCUAAACUGUGGGACCAACCUAGAUGCCUUUCAACAGAUGAAUGAAUAAAGAAAAUGUGGUACAUAUACAUAAUGAAUAUUACUCAGCUUUAAAGAAGAAUGAAAUUAUGGCAUUUGCAGGUAAAUGGAUGGAACUAAAGAAUAUCAUGCUAAGUGAAAUAAGGCAAUCCCAAAAAACCAAAGGCUGAAUGUUUUCUCAGAUAAGGAGAUGCUGAUCCAUAGUGGGGUGAGCGGUGGGUAGGGAAGAAUGAAGGAACUUUGGUUUGUGUACAGGGGAAAGAAUGGAGAGGUGGGGCUGUGGGGAUGGGAAGGACAAUAGAAUAAGACAGACAUUAUUACCCUAUAUACACGUACGAUUACACUACUGGAGUAACUCGGCACCAUGUAUAGCCAGAGGAAUGAGAAGUUGUGCUCCAUUUGUGUACAUUAUGUCAAAAUGCAUUAUAGUGUUAUAUACAACUAAUUAGAAAAUAAAAA
rnacentral:lncRNA from 1 species